AUGGUCAUUUGUUUGAGGGGAGUCGUCAUUAUGAGAAAUAGACUGCAGAAAUCCUGUGUCUCUCUGUGCUGCAUGCACCUGUUUUGGCGGGAAAAAGUGCACAGGCUCUCUGAUUGGUGGAUUCAAAUUCAGCAGCUCCCAGGCUGCUUGACUGAGCUAGAAACUUACUUCUCUCUCCCUGUGUGUGUGUGUGUGUGUGUGUGUGUGUGUGUGUGUGAGAGAGAGAGAGAGAGCGAGAGAGAGCCUUUUGAUGGGAGCAUCUUAUUAUAUCACUUAAAUUCAAUAUAUUUAGACUGGUUGACUGAAUUUGGUCCUGUGUGUGUCUCUCUGUGCAUGUGUGUUUCCAUAUGUGCCCAUAUUUGUGAUUGUGUGACUAUUAUACUUUUUUUGCUGAUUUUUUUUUUUUUCAAUUAACAAUUAGAUUUGAGGGACCCUUAGCAUGUUCAGGAUUUUUCCAGCUGUCCAUUUUGCUUUUCCAAUUUUUCUAUAAGUUAUUACUGUUGUGCUAAGUCAUAGCAUUUCUGCUACUUUUCAGUAUUUGUGCUAAAUACAGCAUUUCUGCUAAAUCAUACUAUUUCUGCUAUUUCAUAAGAUUUGUACUAAAUAUAGUGUUUCUGCCAAAUAUAGUAUUUCUGCUUAAUUAUAGUAUUUCUGCCAUUUUAUAGUAUUUGUGCUAAAACAUAGUAUUUCUACUAAAUGUAGUAUUUAUGCUUAAUCAUACUAUUUGUAUAUAUUUCUGCCAGGUCCCCAGGCAGCUAAUCCUCUGUGAGGACUGAUACAUAUAAAAUUUACGUAUCAGGGCCUGCACGGCUUCCCAGCCAGCCAAUCAUAUCUGAGGUCUGCCCUUUCUUCUCUCGUCAUAUCUCAGCGACAGAUGUACAAAGAGCAAUGCAAAUCACAGUCAAAGUACACGAAAGUACGCUGAUUCACCCAGUACAAGAAUUAUACUUCCAGUCCACCUAGUUUUUGAGUUACACGACGUUUUGUAACUCCAAAAAACAGCGUUUUUCGCCUCUCACCGCAAUCUAAUUCUGACUGCUCAUCACCCUGUUUUCCAGGCAAUCGCUCUCUUUCCCAGUGGCGCAGUUGGUAAUGACACAGGUCUGCAACCCAAAGGUCGUGGGUUCAAUUACACCUUGGGCAACAUGUUUUUUUUCCCUACAAAUUAAUACACUAUCACAGACCACUAAUUCAUAUUCAUCAUUUAUUACAAUUCUGCAAACAUUUAUGAUUUUAGCAGCUUUUCUAAUAUGGACCUCAGAUUCUUCUUAACACUCCAUGGCACAAAUACUGUUCCCUUUAGGCUCUGUGUAUGUGUGUGUGUAUCAAUAUUUCUCCCAUUUUAAAGUAUAACUCCUCCAUAAUUGUAUUUCUGUUAAAUCAAAGUACUUUUACUACAUCUUAGUACUUCUGCUCAAUCAUAGUAUUUCUG
rnacentral:lncRNA from 1 species